UACGUAGGGUGCAAGCGUUAAUCGGAAUUACUGGGCGUAAAGCGUGCGCAGGCGGUUCGGAAAGAAAGAUGUGAAAUCCCAGGGCUUAACCUUGGAACUGCAUUUUUAACUGCCGGGCUAGAGUAUGUCAGAGGGGGGUAGAAUUCCACGUGUAGCAGUGAAAUGCGUAGAGAUGUGGAGGAAUACCGAUGGCGAAGGCAAUCCCCUGGGCCUGCACUGACGCUCAUGCACGAAAGCGUGGGGAGCAAACAGG
rnacentral:rRNA from 1 species